rnacentral:rRNA from 1 species
UACACUCCGCGGGAGGCAGCAGUGGGGAAUUUUGGACAAUGGGCGAAAGCCUGAUCCAGCAAUGCCGCGUGAGUGAAGAAGGCCUUCGGGUUGUAAAGCUCUUUUGUCAGGGAAGAAACGGUGAAAGCUAAUAUCUUUUGCUAAUGACGGUACCUGAAGAAUAAGCACCGGCUAACUACGUGCCAGCAGCCGCGGUAAUACGUAGGGUGCAAGCGUUAAUCGGAAUUACUGGGCGUAAAGCGUGCGCAGGCGGUUUUGUAAGUCUGAUGUGAAAUCCCCGGGCUCAACCUGGGAAUUGCAUUGGAGACUGCAAGGCUAGAAUCUGGCAGAGGGGGGUAGAAUUCCACGUGUAGCAGUGAAAUGCGUAGAUAUGUGGAGGAACACCGAUGGCGAAGGCAGCCCCCUGGGUCAAGAUUGACGCUCAUGCACGAAAGCGUGGGGAGCAAACAGGAUUAGAAACCUCUGUAGUCCC